rnacentral:rRNA from 1 species
GACGAACGCUGGCGGCGUGCCUAAUACAUGCAAGUCGAACGAGAGCGACCGGUGCUUGCACUGGUCAAUCUAGUGGCGAACGGGUGAGUAACACGUGGGUAACCUGCCCAUCAGAGGGGGAUAACAUCCGGAAACGGGUGCUAAAACCGCAUAGGUCUUCGAACCGCAUGGUUUGAAGAGGAAAAGAGGCGCAAGCUUCUGCUGAUGGAUGGACCCGCGGUGCAUUAGCUAGUUGGUGAGGUAACGGCUCACCAAGGCCGUGAUGCAUAGCCGACCUGAGAGGGUGAUCGGCCACAUUGGGACUGAGACACGGCCCAAACUCCUACGGGAGGCAGCAGUAGGGAAUCUUCCGCAAUGGACGCAAGUCCGACGGAGCAACGCCGCGUGAGUGAAGAAGGUUUUCGGAUCGUAAAACUCUGUUGUUAGAGAAGAACAAGUGCUAGAGUAACUGUUAGCGCCUUGACGGUAUCUAACCAGAAAGCCACGGCUAACUACGUG